rnacentral:rRNA from 1 species
GUCGACGCUGGCGGCGUGCCUAAUACAUGCAAGUCGAGCGGACAGAUGGGAGCUUGCUCCCUGAUGUUAGCGGCGGACGGGUGAGUAACACGUGGGUAACCUGCCUGUAAGACUGGGAUAACUCCGGGAAACCGGGGCUAAUACCGGAUGCUUGAUUGAACCGCAUGGUUCAAUUAUAAAAGGUGGCUUUUAGCUACCACUUACAGAUGGACCCGCGGCGCAUUAAGCUAUUUGGUGAGGUAACGGCUCACCAAGGCAACGAUGCGUAGCCGACCUGAUAGGGUGAUCGGCCACACUGGGACUGAGACACGGCCCAAACUCCUACGGGAGGCAGCAGUAGGGAAUCUUCCGCAAUGGACGAAAGUCUGACGGAGCAACGCCKCGUGAGUGAUGAAGGUUUUCCGGAUCGUAAAACUUUGUUGUUAGGGAAAAACAAGUCCCGUUCAAAUAGGGCGGGUACCUUUGACGGUACCUAACCAAAAAGCCACGGGUUAACUACKUUGCCAGCAGCCCCGGGGU